GGGGCUGUAACUCAGUGGUAGAGUGCCUCGUUUGCAUCUAACAAUAUUGUCUAAUUCAAUUCGAAUUAACUGUAUAGUUCUACUUGCCUCGAUGAAGUCCAGGGUUCGACUCCCUGCCGCUCCA